rnacentral:rRNA from 1 species
GACGAACGCUGGCGGCGUGCCUAAUACAUGCAAGUCGAACGAGUGGCGGACGGGUGAGUAAUGUCUGGGAAACUGCCCGAUGGAGGGGGCUAACUCCUGGAAACGGUAGCUAAUACCGCAUACCAUCGGAUGUGCCCCGCUGGGCUUAGCUAGUAGGUGGGGUAACGGCUUACCUAGGCGACGCGCCCUAGCUGGUCUGAGAGGAUGACCAGCCACACUGGAACGGAGACACGGGCCAGACGCCUACGGGAGGCAGCAGUGGGGAAGAUGGCACAAUGGGCGCAAGCCUGAUGCAGCCAUGCCGCGUGUAUGAAGAAGGCCUUCGGGUUGUAAAGUACUUUCAGCGAGAAGGCGUUACUCGCAGAAGAAGCACCGGCUAACUCCGUGCCAGCAGCCGCGGUAAUUC